GGAGGGAUCAUUACCGAGUUUACAACUCCCAAACCCCUG
rnacentral:rRNA from 1 species